CCUGGUUGAUCCUGCCAGUAGUUAUAUGCUUGUCUUGAAGAUUAAGCCAUGCAUGUCUAAGUAUAAGCCACUUUAUACUGGUGCAACUGCAGAAGGCUCAUUAAAACAGUUAUAGUUUAUUUGAUGAUCACCUACUACAUGGAUAACUGAAGUAAAUCUAGAGCUAAUACAUGCAUCAAAUCCCUUCUGGGACGUAUUUAUUAUCUCAAACCAAUACGCCUCGGCGUACCUGGUGAAUCAUAAUAACUUUUUAAUCGCACAGAUUCACUCUGGCGAUAUUUCAUUCAAGUUUCUGACCUAUCAGCUUUAAAUCGUAGUGUAUUGGACUACGAUGGCUUUGACGGGUGACGGAGAAUUAGGGUUCGAUUCCGGAGAGGGAGCCUGAGAAACGGCUACCACAUCUAAGGAAGGCAGCAGGCGCGCAAAUUACCCAAUUGGAAUUUCCAGAGGUAGUGAAGAUAAAUAACAAUGCCAAAGCUUUCAGCUUCUGGUAAUUGGAAUGUGAACAAUUUAAAUCCCUUAUCGAGUAUCCAUUGGAGGGCAAGUCUGGUGCCAGCAGCCGCGGUAACACCAGCUCCAAUAGCGUAUAUUAAAGUUGCUGCAGUUAAAAAGCUCGUAGUUGGAUAUGUAGCUGGACUGAACUGGCCUGCUCUGUAAUGGAGUGUGUGCCUAUUCAUCCAGUUAAUUUUCUGAAUAGUUUCUUUCACGAGAAACUCUUUCGGAUCCUUUACUUUGAAAAAAUAAGAGUGUUCAAAGCAAGCUUUAUGCCUUGAAUUCAUUAGCAUGGAAUAAUAAAAUAGGACUUUGGCCUAUUUUGUUGGUUAAAGGACCAAAGUAAUGAUUGAUAGGGACAGUUGGGGGCACCUGUAUUGAACGGCCAGAGGUGGAAUUCUUGGAUUCGUUCAAGACAAACUGCUGCGAAGGCGCUUGCCAAGGAUGUCUUCUUUAAUCAAGAACGAAAGUUGGGGGAUCGAAGACGAUUAGAUACCGUCGUAGUCUCAACCAUAAACUAUGCCAACUAAGGAUCAGUGAACGUUAUUCAAACUUCACUGGGACUUUAUGAGAAAUCAAAGUGUUUGGGUUCUGGGGGGAGUCUGGUCGCAAGUCUGAAACUUAAAGGAAUUGACGGAAGGGCACACAAGGAGUGGAGCCUUCGGCUUAAUUUGACUCAACACGGGAAACCUUACCAGGUCCAGAGACGCGAAAGAUUGACAGACUGCAGCUCUUUCUUGAUUGCGUCGUUAGUGGUGCAUGGCCGUUCUUAGUUGGUGGAGUGAUCUGUCUGGUUAAUUCCGUAAACGAACGAGACCAAGACCUACUAACUAGUCACACAUAGUCUACUAUGCUGUGUACUUCUUAGAGGGACUGAA
rnacentral:rRNA from 1 species